UGAGCAUGCUCGGAGAGCGGGUCUGUCGCGGGAGGAAGCGGCGCGGGCUGCGGGCGCUGCACGCCKCGCCGUUGUUGUGAUACAGCCUCCGCCACGUGACUGCGCGGGGCCCGCCUUCCCUGCGCGCGGUGCCUCCUCACGGUGACUCAGCACUUUGUGCGGGCUCGGAGCCGAAGGUCUAUCCCGGGGAGGCUGAUUUGGGGCAAAGUCUUGGUGGUUAUUCCUGCCCCUGGGCUGCGGAUGCCUCUAUCGCUGUGGUCACACUUCAGCUACGCCAGGCCUCCAGCUCCAGAGGAUCUGCUGCUGGUGCUUCUCCAACAUAGUGGAACAAUGGCAMUGAGCUCAGGACUCCACUGCAAAGUCAGCUGUUUAUCUCUGAGUUCAUUGGACCAGUGACCCCCACCUGCCCCAAGCAUACAGUCCUGUCAUCUUCACCGGUGUGAUAGAGGCACCAGUCUUCAUAGAAUCACAGGGCAACUCCAACCCAUACUCUUCUCUCAACAAGAAAAGUCUGCAACUUGUGUCUGCCCAAAAGGCACUGAGUCACUUGAACGUUGAGCCUGUGCCUAUGGU
rnacentral:lncRNA from 1 species